rnacentral:rRNA from 1 species
GAUGAACGCUGGCGGCGUGCCUAAUACAUGCAAGUCGAGCGAACAGACGAGGAGCUUGCUCCUCUGACGUUAGCGGCGGACGGGUGAGUAACACGUGGAUAACCUACCUAUAAGACUGGGAUAACUUCGGGAAACCGGAGCUAAUACAGGAUAAUAUAUUGAACCGCAUGGUUUAAUAGUGAAAGACGGUUUUGCUGUCACUUAUAGAUGGAUCCGCGCCGCAUUAGCUAGUUGGUAAGGUAACGGCUUACUAAGGCAACGAUGCGUAGCCGACCUGAGAAGAUGAUCGGCCACACUGGAACUGAGACACACUCCAGACUCCUACGCGAGACAGCAGUAGAGAAUCUUCCACAAUGGGCGAAAGCCUGACGGAGCAACCCCCCGUUAGUGAUGAAUGUCUUCGGAUCGUAAAACUCUGUUAUUAGGGAAGAACAAAUGUGUAAGUAACUAUGCACGUCUUGACGGUACCUAAUCAGAAAGCCACGGCUAACUACGUG